rnacentral:tRNA from 1 species
GGCCCUAUAGUCAAGUGGUUAAGACACCGCCCUUUCAAGGCGGUAACGGGGGUUCAAAUCCCCCUAGGGUCACCA